rnacentral:rRNA from 1 species
ACGGAAGGCAGCAGUGAGGAAUAUUGGUCAGUGGAGGCAACUCUGAACCAGCCAUCUCGCGUGAAGGAAUACGGCCCUACGGGUCUUAAACUUCUUUUAUAGGGGGAUAAAGUGAGGCAUGUAUGCCUUUUUGUAGGUACCCUAUGAAUAAGCAUCGGCUAACUCCGUGCCAGCAGCCGCGGUAAUACGGAGGAUGCGAGCGCUAUCCGGAUUUAUUGGGUUUAAAGGGUGCGCAGGCGGCACGUUAAGUCAGCGGUGAAAUGUCGGGGCUCAACCCGGGCACUGCCGUUGAAACUGGCGAGCUUGAGUACGGAUGAAGUUGGCGGAAUGUGAUGUGUAGCGGUGAAAUGCUUAGAUAUGCUGCAGAACUCCGAUUGCGAAGGCAGCUGUCCAGAGAUGUACUGACGCUGAGGCACGAAAGCAUGGGUAUCAAACAGGAUUAGAUACCCUGGUA